ACUAUAGCAGAAGAGAUUUAAUUAUUUUAUUUUUAUUAUUUUAUUUUAUUUUCUAGAAAUACCAAAUACUAUGAACUAUUGUUGCGUAAGAAUUGGCUACAAUAAUAAUAUUUUUAAUAAAUUAACCAAAAAUCAUAUGAUUAAUAAUAUUAUAAGUAGAGAAAAUCAAGAUUCUUCUUCGUCUUGCUUCUGCUCUCUCUCAAAUUCCCUGUUCCUUCUCUCUUUCCCUUUCUUUCUCUCCGUUACUUUACUUCCAAAUACUCCUCUCACAUCGUAAUAGAUGAUUUUGAAAAGGGAUUGAAGGAUGAUAGUCGAUGAAGCUUUGAUAUGAUACUUUAUAAAAUUUUAGAAUCCUUGUCAACUUAUUUCUAAGAUGAUCAAGGAUCAUUGAGAAGAAUUAUGGAAUCCAAAGGAAAGAUCAACCAGAUUCGGGGAGCAACUGCACAUAAAAAUCAAAAUGGAAAUCUCUUGGGUGUUGAAGAAAGAAGUGUACUUGAAUUAGAAUUGGAGAAUUACGAACUCGUUGCUGUGAAAGCUGAAAAACCUUCAAUCGAUCUGAAAUCCUCAAUUCAUCAUAAUAAUGGAUCACUAAACUUGCACUAAUGUUUGAUCAAUAUGCCUCCAUAAGCACAAGCAAAACUCUAAAUGAGGGGCUAGGUGAAGAAUUAGACAAGAAAUCUACGGGCAAUGAUCAAUGAAUAAGGAAUCUUGGAAUCAAAUGAAAAAUCAGAUGAUAAAGAUGAAGAAGGUGACAAAGAUGAGGAAGAUGCGACAUUUAACGACGAAGAUAAGGAAGCAUAUGACAAAAAUAAAGAAGAUGAUGACAUAUAUGAGGAAAAUAAGGCAUUUGAUUAUGAAGAUGACAAAGCAGACUAUAAAGAUGAUGAGGAAGAAGAGGCCAAAGACAAACAAGAUGAUGAAAAUGAGGCAUCUAAUGAUGAAGAUAUGGAAGAUGAGGAAGCAGAUGGAGAAGAUGGAGAAAAAGAUGACAAAGAUAAGAAAGAUGAAGAUGAUGAAGCAUAUGGCAAAGAUGAAGAAAAUAGCUCAUUGAUGAUAAGCUAGGAGAACUAAGCUUGGCAACUGUUACCACUUCUCUUGGGCAAAAAUCUCUUUUGAGUUCCUAAUAGCAUUGUUCUUGUCUUGAAAUCCAUAAUAUGUGAAGUGUGUCUUCUUACAUGUGAUGUUGCUUUACAAUUUUAUUGUGAAGUUAUUUAUUCUAGAUGGAAGCUUCUAGCUUAGCUCAAGUUGUUAGUAGUUAGUUUCUUGUUUUCCUGCCUAUAACUUUCUGUAUAGACUAAUUCUAUAUAUAAACAAGUGGUAUCAAACUAAGUAAUACAAUUUCCAAUUUCCUUUUCUUCUAUCA